rnacentral:rRNA from 1 species
ACACUGACGUCGCGACGCAUAUCAAUAAGCGGAGGAAAAGAAACUAACUAGGAUUCCCUUCAGUAACGGCGAGUGAAGCGGGAAGAGCUCAAAUUUGAAAUCUUCAAGGUUUUACCUUGACGAAUUGUAGUUUAAAGAAGUGUUUUCUGCUGAAGUUUUGGUAAAAGUUCUUUGGAAUAGGACAUCAUAGAGGGUGAGAAUCCCGUAUUUGACCAUUAUUUUCAGCUUUGUGAUACACUUUCAAAGAGUCGGAUUGUUUGGGAAUGCAGUCCAAAAUGGGUGGUAAAUUUCAUCUAAAGCUAAAUAUUGGCGAGAGACCGAUAGCGAACAAGUACCGUGAGGGAAAGAUGAAAAGAACUUUGAAAAGAGAGUUAAACAGUACGUGAAAUUGUCAAAAGGGAAGCGUUUGACACCAGUGUUGUUCUUCUGAAAAUCAAUUAAAGAACUGUUUAUGCUAAGUUGUUUAGACUUUAUCAGCUAACUGUUUAGUUUUGAGCUUUUCUUUAAUGCACUUUUCAGUUAACAAGUCAACAUCAAUUUCUUUUGCUGUAAAAAAGCUUGAGGAAGGUGGCUUGAGAUUCGUCUUAAGUGUUUAUAGCCUCUUGCCUAUGCAGUCGGAGAGAUUGAGGUCUGCAGCGUAGAUCCUUCGGGGCUAAAUGCAUUUGUGCUAAGUUAUAGCAUUUUAUAGACAACUUGUUGACUAUGAUUUGUCUUGUAGCUUACUCGCUUAUGCUAUUUUACCUACGCUUAGGAUGUUGAACUCUAUCACACACAG